rnacentral:rRNA from 1 species
UAGCUAGUUGGUGAGGUAAAGGCUUACCAAGGCGACGAUCUGUAGCGGGUCUGAGAGGAUGAUCCGCCACACUGGAACUGAGACACGGUCCAGACUCCUACGGGAGGCAGCAGUGGGGAAUUUUGGACAAUGGGGGCAACCCUGAUCCAGCCAUGCCGCGUGAGUGAAGAAGGCCUUCGGGUUGUAAAGCUCUUUCGGCCGGGAAGAAAUCGCAUGGGCCAAUACCCUGUGUGGAUGACGGUACCGGAAUAAGAAGCACCGGCUAACUACGUGCCAGCAGCCGCGGUAAUACGUAGGGUGCGAGCGUUAAUCGGAAUUACUGGGCGUAAAGCGUGCGCAGGCGGUUUUGUAAGACAGGCGUGAAAUCCCCGGGCUUAACCUGGGAACUGCGUUUGUGACUGCAAGGCUAGAGUACGGCAGAGGGGGGUGGAAUUCCACGUGUAGCAGUGAAAUGCGUAGAGAUGUGGAGGAACACCAAUGGCGAAGGCAGCCCCCUGGGUCGAUACUGACGCUCAUGCACGAAAGCGUGGGUAGCAAACAGGAUUAGAUACCCUGGUAGUCCACGCCCUAAACUAUGUCAACUAGGUGUUGGGUGGGUAAAACCAUUUAGUACCGUAGCUAACGCGUGAAGUUGACCGCCUGGGGAGUACGGCCGCAAGGUUAAAACUCAAAGGAAUUGACGGGGACCCGCACAAGCGGUGGAUGAUGUGGAUUAAUUCGAUGCAACGCGAAAAACCUUACCUACCCUUGACAUGCCAGGAACUUGCCAGAGAUGGCUUGGUGCCCGAAAGGGAGCCUGGACACAGGUGCUGCAUGGCUGUCGUCAGCUCGUGUCGUGAGAUGUUGGGUUAAGUCCCGCAACGAGCGCAACCCUUGUCGUUAAUUGCCAUCAUUUAGUUGGGCACUUUAACGAGACUGCCGGUGACAAACCGGAGGAAGGUGGGGAUGACGUCAAGUCCUCAUGGCCCUUAUGGGUAGGGCUUCACACGUCAUACAAUGGUCGGUACAAAGGGUUGCCAAGCCGCGAGGCGGAGCCAAUCCCAGAAAGCCGAUCGUAGUCCGGAUUGCAGGCUGCAACUCGCCUGCAUGAAGUCGGAAUCGCUAGCAAUCGUGGAUCAGCAUGUCACGGUGAAUACGUUCCCGGGUCUUGUACACACCGCCCGUCACACCAUGGGAGCGGGUUCCGCCAGAAGUAGGUAGCCUAACCGCAAGGGGGGCGCUUACCACGGCGGGGUUCGUGACUGGGGUGAAGUCGGAACAAGGUAGCCGUAGGGUACCUGCGGCUG